GAAGAACCUAGUGGGAGGUGAUUGGAUCACGGGGGCAGAAUUUCACCCUGUUGAUCUCAUGACAGUGAGGUAGUUCUCACAAGAUCUGUUUGUUUAAAAGUGUGUAGCACUUCCCCCUUAGCUCUCUUCUCUCUCUCUGUCCUGCUCUGCCAUGGUAGAUGUGCUUGCUUUCCCUUUGCCUUCUGCCAUGAUUGUAAGUUUCCUAAGGUUUUCCAGCCAUGCUUCCUGUACAGCCUGCAGAACUGCUCUUUCCUUUAUAAAAUACCCAGUCUCAGAUCGUGUAGACUUCAAUUGGCAGAGUUACUCAGUAUUAUUUACUUGGAAAAUCCUCUGUAACCUAAAAGUCCUAGCUCUCCUGACACUAAGGAUGACAAUGGAACACUUAAAUGGUAGCUGCCUAUGAAGGGCUGUCCCUCUACCCCCUUGUUCCCUCUGAAUCUGAAGCUAUUAGCCACUUACAAUCUUAAUAAACUAAAAUUUUUUUGGAUAUUUGGAUUAAAUUUUUCUAAAGUAUUUAAUGGGGAAGAAUAAUAUACUGCAUUUAAGAGUUUAAGUAUACCUUUUUCAUGGUCUAUACCCUAGAAAACAAAUUAUAUG
rnacentral:lncRNA from 10 species